rnacentral:tRNA from 1 species
CGGGCUGUAGCGAAGCUUGGUAUCGCGCUUGUUUCGGGUACAAGAGGUCCCGGGUUCAAAUCCCGGCAGCCCGACCA